GGGAAUAGGACCCAAGAGCCCAGACUUUCAGACUAAGCAUCGCAUCUUGAAUUUCAUACAUUCAAUAACCUGAAUAAAGAAAAGCAGCACCUGCUGCAACCCAGA